rnacentral:lncRNA from 1 species
UAGAAUUGAGUAAAAUCAAAAUAAAGGAGUAGAGUGUACCUCUCUUGAAUUGGUGACCUAAUGAAACGAAAAUUCUCUUAUUUACCCUCCAAAAGAAAGGAAAUGGUCAAGGCACCAAUUUAUUUGAUAAACACAAAACAAAUCAUUUGAAAUCAACUCAAGGUUCCUAAAAUUUAGAAAUUAAAUGCCAUUUAAACUAAACAAGUAGUUAAACAAUUCAACUUUAUCAAACAAAAUGCAAAUUAAUGAUUCAAACGUCAUCACCUUAAUUCACUAAAUUAUGGAGCAUUCAAAAUCUAAACUCAACAAGUUCACUUGAAAUUCUAUUGACAAAACUCGAGUUAACUCAUAAAGAUUUGCAAACAUUGAGAAAAUUUCGGGAGUCAAAUUAUUAUUACAAAUAUUAGGGGGUGAAAUCAAAGCAAAAAUAAAGCCCUCAAGACCAAUUAAGUUCUAAUUAUUUCCUAAAACCAGAAAAUAACUUUGUCUAAAACAUGGUUAAAACAUAAAAGGAUUGAUUGAAUUUCAAAAAGGGUAAAAUUGAUUGAGUUUUCCAUAUUCUUGUGCCAUAACAGCAUUACUUAGAAAACUAGGGGUUAAAGUGCAAUUUUUGAAACUUUUCAUGCAAAGGGCGAAGCUUUCUUCUUCCUUCGUCUGCAACUUCACAACUAUGACCUAUGACGUUCAGGUCAUACGCAGCUAAUAAAAUUCAAACAAAUAGCAAUCUUACGAACCAAAACAACACUUUAUGCAUCUUAUCAUCAAAACCCAACCAUAUAUUAUGCAUUCCCCAGGAUUCUCCAACCCAGAUCACGCACAAAGACCAAAAAAAAAACAGUCAUGAACUCCUGCACACCCAACAACUAACCUCACAUGAAUUCCCAAACAAAGUUCCGAAACAUGUCUCAGACGAGGAAUAUCUUUCUUAAGAUGACAAGGAAUAUCUCUCUCAAACUCAUCAAGGAUUGGCAAAAAUGCAGCAAGUGAUAAAAAAACCACCUUUUAACUAGCAGACAUGAAGAUCUAAGUGAUAAAGGCAGCAUAGCUACAACAACAGCCAAACAGUUCAAAAUUCACAUCUUAUAGCCUUCGAUUCUCAUGCAAAAUAGUGUUAACACAUCCAAGAAAGAGGCUAGGAUUACCUUGAAGCUUUUGUAAAGCAGGAAUAAACGUGAAAAUCCUCCAAGAGAUCACGACAAUCUGGAAACGCAGCUCAAGAAGACUUGCUGCAGAAAUUUCAGCGCUGACAAAAUCAGCACUUUGGGUCGCGAUUUGAGAGGGUUAGAGGGAUUUUUGCUGAGCGAUUUCUGGUAUCCAUAGAUGGUGCAGCAAGAAAAUCUCCUCAAAAGGAGGUCGGGAUUUGUUGAAAUAGGGUGAUGAACAGAAUAGAUUCAUCAAUCCUAGCUCAACUUUCUGCAGAAAAAUUUCUGCACUUUUCUCUCCUCUCUUGAUCCUCAACCGUCACCUCCUCUCCACCUCUCUCUCUCGGUUUUUUUCCUU